rnacentral:rRNA from 1 species
CCUACGGGGGGCAGCAGUGGGGAAUAUUGCACAAUGGAGGGAACUCUGAUGCAGCGACGCCGCGUGAGUGAAGAAGUAAUUCGUUAUGUAAAGCUCUAUCAGUCGGGGAGCAAGUGACGGUACCUGAAAAAGAAGCUCCGGCGAAAUACGUGCCAGCAGCCGCGGGAAUACGUAUGGAGCCAGCGUUAUCCGGAUUUACUGGGGGUAAAGGGGGUGUAGGUGGGAGAGCAAGUCCGACGUGAAAACCCAAAGCUCAACUAUGGGAAUGCCGUAGAAACUGCUCGGCUAGAGUGCAGGAGAGGCAAGGGGAAUGCGUGGUGUAGCGGUGAAAUGCAUAGAUAUUGCGAGGAACACCGGUUGCGAAGGCGGCUUGCUGGAUUGUAACUGACGCUGAGGCUCGAAAGCGUGGGGAGCAAACAGGAUUAGAUACCCUGGUAGUC